rnacentral:lncRNA from 1 species
UCAGUCAUUUUGAAAUUCAAAUUACAGGAACACAUUUGCAAUUCUGAGCAUGAAAAAUCAUGACACCUUCAAAGCGACACAGGAGUGAGCAAGAACGUAUUGACUUCUAUUUCACAAUUCAACCAAACAGAAAGUUAUACUCUAUUAUACUCUCAUGAAAAAAAGUUUCACAUUAAUAUUAUUUACCUACAAAAUUAUGUUUAACACCAAACCCCCG